UCGUGCAGCCGGGGUGUUAGCGGUACCUUGUAGCCCACAAUCCGCUAUAGUGGGGGUGAUGUUACACAGAGGGCGGUUUCUUGUGAAGCUGCCUCCGGUAAGUGGCGUUGAUGUCUGGGUCUUACGCGGCGGACGUCUGUGAACCGUGUCAGGUCAGGAAUGAAGCAGCACUAAGCAGAAUGUUCCGGGUGUUGUAAGGGCGCCUGGGCUGAGUUAACUGCCGGAGUACCGUUUGGGGGAAGCCGUUCGAAGUGUAACGCACGU
rnacentral:SRP_RNA from 1 species